rnacentral:rRNA from 1 species
CGUAGGGGGCUAGCGUUGUCCGGAAUCAUUGGGCGUAAAGAGCGUGUAGGCGGCCCGGUAAGUCCGCUGUGAAAGUCGGGGGCUCAACCCUCGAAUGCCGGUGGAUACUGUCGGGCUAGAGUGCGGAAGAGGCGAGUGGAAUUCCUGGUGUAGCGGUGAAAUGCGCAAAUAUCAGGAGGAACACCGAUUGCGAAGGCAGCUCGCUGGGACGUAACUGACGCUGAGACGCGAAAGCGUGGGGAGCAAACAGGAUUAGAUACCCUGGUAGUCCACGCUGUAAACGAUGGGCACUAGGUGUGGGGGGUGUCGACUCCCUCCGUGCCGAAGCUAACGCAUUAAGUGCCCCGCCUGGGGAGUACGGCCGCAAGGCUA